UAUCAUAUUUAUAUUCAUUUUAGCACAAUGACAAAAUGGCAUAAUUUCAGUUGUCUCAUUUAAAUCAUGACAAAAAGCCACCUCUUAAUAUAUUGGUUUCAAUAAUACCUCAUAUCAUAUUUUGUUGCAGUCAUUGCAAAAUGAAUCCUAAAGUACUUCUUGUCCUCUAUGGGAAAAUUAAAAAAUGUAUGUUAUGACGCUCUUCUCUGUUUUAAGCAGUGUCACAUCCUCAAACACCACAUCAGUUUUUUGUCACUGGGACAGCACUGGAUCACUUCACUGACUCAAACUAAAUGAAACUGUGUGCACAUUAUUUAACAGCUGUAAGUCUAAAUAAUCACACUUGUAGAGCAAUUCGACUGAGAAACAUAAUGAACUGGAUUGACAAUGUGGGG